UUACAAUAUGAUACGUGGGCUGAUAUUUAAAACUUGGUCUGGUUUUCUUGUGGAUAUGGAAGACGCGGAGGAUGCAGAAGGAUUGAGUGAGUGGGAGCAAAUUCAAUCACCCUGGCACCCAACAUCUCCCACCACCACCACCACCUCCUCCGCCGCCAGCGGCAGCCCAACCACCACCCACUCAAUAGGAUUUGACGGCGGCUCGGUGGCGGUGAUAACUGACAACAACUACCUUCACAAUUCCUGUUCCAUUUUUCCUCCAACCGAACCGACCACGAGGGCUUGCCAAUAUCUCCACAGCACAACCACCAACCACCGCCACAAGCAUCCAGUUCGCCGCCGUUGGAAGGAGGGGAUGAGGUGGCGGCUGUGGCUCCGGUGAGAGCCGCGGGGGGGUCUGGGUGGAGAUUGAGGUCGCAUUUGGGGCUAUUAAGCUCCGGGAUUGUUCGUGUUGCUUUUGCGGUUCGUGAUUAUGCAGUGUGUAGAAGGGGUUUUUGGUCAUUUCUGUGCGUGGCCGGAGUUUUGGGGGUGUCGUUUUUGUACGGGAAGGUGUGGCGGUGGCGGCGGAGAUUCCGGCGAGAGAAUGAGGAGCGUUUGAUGCUACUAGUCAGAGAGAAAGAUGAGAAAAUCAGCCAACUCUGGCUACAAAUUGCCCAAAUGAAUGAGGUUCUCUCGGCCCGGCGCAGGGUUCUAGUGGUCAGAGUUGCUUGACUGACUAAUCACAUCAUUCCCAGCUCAAAAUUGAUCGAUCACACAUUGUGACCAUACUUAUUAAUUCACCCCUCUCUCUCUCUCUCUCUCUCUCUCUCUCUGUAAUGUGAUAUCAGCUUAUGAAGACUGAGCAAGAAGAGGUACAUACAUAUGCAGUAUUUGCAUUUGCUAGAUAUUGAUACAAAUUGGUGACUGCCUCUGUACCAAGCUUAUUUUCUUCCUUGUUCUUGUGAUGUGUACAAAAUAAGACAUCGAGCAAUAUGAUUUGCGAAUUCAUUCA